GCCAGUCGAGGGGUAACAGAUGAAGAUCUUGCUCAGAUUGCUGACGACCGGCGCACGGGUGAGUAACACGUAUGCAACCUACCUUUUACAGAGGGAUAGCCCAGAGACAUUUGGAUUAAUACCUCAUAAUAUUUUUAACUCGCAUGAGUUUUAAAUUAAAACUUCGGUGGUAAAAGAUGGGCAUGCGUUCUAUUAGUUUGUUGGUGAGGUAACGGCUUACCAAGACUACGAUAGAUAGGGGUUCUGAGAGGAGAAGC
rnacentral:rRNA from 1 species